rnacentral:lncRNA from 12 species
CGUCCUUCAUAUGUGCAGAGGACCGUCUGUUAGACGUGAUAAACAGAAUAUGUUGCGUGCUGCUUUUGAAUCUUGCAUUCCUCCUUGCACACACACGUUUGAACAUUUUAAUUGCGUUGGAAGAACUUUUUAGGUCUACAGAUCAGCCAGCAGACAGUUGGUGCGCGCGCAUAAUGAGGCGGACACACCUGGCGCGCGACAACAACUGGUUUGGCCCUGGUGUCAGAGUCUGCAUCAGCAGCUGACUCCCGCGUCUGGAGAAAGUUUCUGGUACCCCAGAAGUCAUUUGGCGAAUCAUUUAAGGAAAUCGUGAACAUAUGAUUAAUAAUCAUGGUUAUUUUUAAUCACGGAACUGAACUGUUCUUGUUCCACACAGACCUGACCUUCAAGACAAGAAGUAACUUAGUAUUUUAGGAAUUCAUGAGAUUCUUUAGGGGGAAAUCAUCAUUUGCACAGACACAAAUGAAUAAAUAAAGUGACAAGCAUAAUAUUAACCAACGAAUAGCACAAGUGAAGUUAAUUUAGUUUAUACAACAUGGGUAGGUAUAGAUACAUAUAAAUUGAGACAAGUAUCUAAUUUUUUGUCAUUGUCAUUUUAAAAUAUGAUGCCGAAUAACUUAACCAAACAAUGCCAUGUUAAACAGUUAAAGAUCUCCACUAUACUAGUAAAAGUAUAGCUCUUUGUAUAGCUCGAGGUAAGCAAGAGUCUUUUGAAAUGUAAACCUCAAAUUAUUUGAUAGUUUGUAUGUGAAUGCUGUUUUCUAUUUUAUUUUUUAGAAACGUUUUAAUGAAUGUAUGAAUCUCUUGAAUCAGUUCAAAAAUGGAUCUUUGCCUCUGUGACUAAUGUGCAGCUUUGGGAGGCACAGAAGAUUAAACAGGUGAGUGUGAACAGCGUUGAAAGCCUUUUACAGGUUGCUAUGAUGAAAGAACCUGCUUGAAUCACUCAACAUCUACGUGCGCAGUGUGUCGCACUCACAAGCUGUAGUUCUGUAUAGCGGUGUAAUGAGAGGA